UUCUCGAUGGCCGAGACAGGCAUUAAGCUUUUAACUUAACCACAGUACUAAUACUUCGAGAAC
rnacentral:tRNA from 1 species